GUGUCCAGUCUGACGUGCAGCUGGUGGAGUCCGGGGGAGGCUUGGUGAAGCCUGGGGAGUCCCUGAAACUCUCCUGCAUGGCCUCGGGAUUCACCUUCAGUAACUAUGCCAUGCACUGGGUCCGUCAGGCUCCAGGGAAGGGGCUGGAGUGGAUCUCAGCCAUCAGUUAUAACAGUGGUAGCACAUACUACGCGGACUCCGUAAAGGGCCGAUUCACCAUCUCCAGAGAAAAUGACAGGAACACGCUGUAUCUGCAAAUGAAAAACCUGCGAACCGAGGACACGGCCCUGUAUUACUGUGCAAAAGACACAGUGAGGGGACCUCAGUGCGAGCUCAGACAAAAACCUCCCUGCAGGGGCGCGAGAGCCCAGCAGGGGCCGCUGUGA